rnacentral:rRNA from 1 species
UUGUAGCCUGCUAUGGUAUAACUUAGUGGCAGACGGGUGAGUAAUAUAUAGGAAUCUACCUAGUAGUACGGAAUAAUUGUUGGAAACGGCAACUAAUACCGUAUACGCCCUACGGGGGAAAAAUUUAUUGCUAUUAGAUGAGCCUAUAUUAGAUUAGCUAGUUGGUGGAGUAAUAGCCUACCAAGGCAAUGAUCUAUAGCUGAUCUGAGAGGAUGAUCAGCCACACUGGAACUGAGAUACGGUCCAGACUCCUACGGGAGGCAGCAGUGGGGAAUAUUGGACAAUGGGCGAAAGCCUGAUCCAGCCAUGCCGCAUGAGUGAAGAAGGCCUUUGGGUUGUAAAGCUCUUUUAGUGAGGAAGAUAAUGACGGUACUCACAGAAGAAGUCCUGGCUAACUCCGUGCCAGCAGCCGCGGUAAUACGGAGAGGGCUAGCGUUAUUCGGAAUUAUUGGGCGUAAAGGGCGCGUAGGCUGGUUAGUAAGUUAAAAGUGAAAUCCCGAGGCUUAACCUUGGAACUGCUUUUAAAACUGCUAACCUAGAGAUUGAAAGAGGAUAGAGGAAUUCCUAGUGUAGAGGUGAAAUUCGUAAAUAUUAGGAGGAACACCAGUGGCGAAGGCGUCUAUCUGGUUCAAAUCUGACGCUGAGGCGCGAAGGCGUGGGGAGCAAACAGGAUUAGAUACCCUGGUAGUCCACGCUGUAAACGAUGAAUGUUAAAUAUGGGAAGUUUACUUUCUGUAUUACAGCUAACGCGUUAAACAUUCCGCCUGGGGACUACGGUCGCAAGAUUAAAACUCAAAGGAAUUGACGGGGACCCGCACAAGCGGUGGAGCAUGUGGUUUAAUUCGAUGCAACGCGAAAAACCUUACCACUCCUUGACAUGAAAAUCAUACC